rnacentral:lncRNA from 1 species
UCGGGGUAGGCUUGGCUGCGAGCACCUCGCACUGCUCCUCGAUUAUAGGAUCUCCCGCAGGAUCUACUGGUGGUGCUACUAGAAUAGCUCUAGGAUGCCCUCGUCCCCUACCUCGGGCUGGUGCCCUCCCUCGGCCUCUACCUCGGCCUCUAGCAAUGGGAGGAGAAGCUCCUCCCGAGUCUGGAACAUCAGCCAUGCGUGUCCUCUAUGAGAGAAUAGAAGAAGGAAAUUUAGUAUACCAACCACUGCACGACAGAAGAGGGAGAUUUAGUAUACCAAGACGUCUCCAUACCGAUCCGCAAGACUAUUAGGUUUGCCCAUGACUUGUGAGAUCUACGUAAACCUAGUGCUCUGAUACCAUGUUGUCACGACCCAUUUUUCCAUAAUAGGUCAUGAUGGUGCCCAACACCGUUGUCAGGCAAGCCAAUGCAGAAGUAUUAGUGAAUUCUUAUUUUACUUACCCAAACAGUUACAACAUUUUUCUUAAUUUUCAAUUAAAAGCAGGCACAUUCAGUAAUAAUUAUACAAUCCAAAAGAAACGUCUACUAAUGUGUGUGCCAAGACCUGGUGUCACAAACCGUGGAAAACUAGUAGAAUAUACAAAAUAAUACAUCUAUCCUACUGUCUGAAACAGAAUAGACAGUCAAAAGUAAGGAAUACUCCAUCCAGCUGUUGAUCGGCACAGGCAGGGAAACAGCUCACCGUGGAAGUCUCGGUCUAUGAUCAGGGACGCACACCGGUCUGAUAGUCAGAUGAACCUGCCUUAGAAACUAUACAAUUAAGUACCAGAAGCAUAGCAUGAGUACAUAGACAAUAUGUACCCAGUAAGUAUCCCGUCUAAUCUCGAAGCACGAGAGGUCGACUUGAUACAUAUUAGGGCCAAAUAAUAUAAUACGAUAUUAUGCCAGGCGUGAUGGUCACAAAAUAUAACAGUUGAAAUAAGUAUUUCUAAGUCAUGUCAUUUUAAUGCCCCAGUUAAUCCUUUACAAUUUAAGCCAUGUAUCAAGCAGGUCAUCAAUAAUAAAUUCACAUAAAUAUCAUGCGCAUGUUAUGCAGAGGUCGACGGCCCGAUCCAACAUAAAAGAAAUUAUGCACUGCCAGAGGGUCGAAUGACGCGAACCAUAGAUGCAUCUAUUUCUACCGAGGCGAUCGGCCUGAUCCACAAAUAUCAAUUAUCAACAGAAAAAUACAAGAAGGCGCAUUUAUAUUCAAACAAACUCAUACCAGUGUUCAACACAACAUAUGUUCACUUAUGUUCAUUUCCAAUUCUCUAGCAUAUCCUAAAUGAUCACAUUAGCAAGAUGACAUAUAACAUUUGCAAAUAUAGCAUGACACGAGUCCUAAACUACCCGGACAAUUAACAUGAUAGUAGUUACGCACGGACUCUCGUCACCUAGUGCGUACGUAUCCCCCGUAUUUAGUAUCAAAUUAUACAAUCAUUACUCCUAUGGGGACAAUUCCCUCUUACAAGGUUAGAAAGGAGACUCACCUCGCUCCAAAGUGCUCUUCCAAUACUAAGAACGAGCCCGAACUCUCAAUUUGAAGCCAAACGAUCCAAAACUAGUUAAAUGGGGUAAGGACUAGUCAAUACAAGCUCAUAAGACCACAUUCUAACUAUUAAAGAAAUUCCCAACCUUAAACACAAGUUUCCUAAAAUUCGACCCCGGGCCUACGCGCCCGAGUUCCGAAAUUUUUCGAAGAAAGUUGUUCUUUGUAACCUAAGGAUCAAUAAUAUAUAAUUUUUAUUUCGCUUCAUACCUAAUUUCGUGGAAAAAUCUAAGUUUUAUCAAAACCAUAGGUUUUUGCUCUAACCCCAUGAUUUUACCUAAAUCAUAGUGUUUAAUCUACCUAAGACACAAGUAUUAAACUAAGAAUAGGUGAGAUAAGCUUACCUCAAGAUGCUAGCUGGAGGUCUUCUCUCAAAAGCUCCCAAAAUCGCCAAUAGAGGAGUGAAAAUGGCAAAAAUACUUAGAACCCGUAUUAAAUGAAGCUCACUGCUUCAGCGAUUUCCGCAUCUGCAGUCCUGCUUCUGCGAGAAAUUGGGUGCAUCUGCGGAACCAACCAAGUGGGCUGCGACCGCUUCUGCGGUCUUGAAGCCGCUUCUGUGGUUUUGGGCCUGGCCUACCUUGGUCGCAUCUGCGAUAGGCGAAAAACUGCAGGUGCGAUUAUGACAGAAGCAGAUGCUUCAACACUUCUCAACAUUUCCAACUUCACUCAAGCCUUGUCCGAUUGACGCUAGGGGCUCCCGGGCCUCGCCCAAACAUGCCAACAAGUCUGAAUCAUGAAACGGACCUACUCGAACCUUCGGAACACCCGAAACAAUGUUAAAUCUAAGAAUCACCCCCUAAAACCAAUUGAGUCAAACUUAUGAACUUCAAGUUUUUAAUUUUCCUCGAACGAGCCGAAACGCCCUUAAACUACUUGGAUUGACACCAAAUUUUGCGGGCAAGUCUUAAAUGUUAUAUUGGACCUGUAUCAGGCUCCGGAACCAACAUACGAGCCCGAUACCCAUGUGAUCAAUCAUUAUUUAGUUUUUUUUUUAAAUCCUUAGAAUUUCAGUUUAACAAUUUCUAAUAAAAAAUUCAUUACUCGGCCUAAGGACCUCGAAAUUCGAUUCCGGGCAUAUGCCCAGGUCCCAUAUUUUCCUACGGACCCUCCGGGACCAUCAAACCACGAAUCCGGGUCCGUUUGCUCAAAAUGUUGAGCAAAGUCAAACUUAGCCUUUUAAGAAAAUCUUAAGGAAUCAAAUGAGCAUAUUUCAACCCAAAUUCUUCCAAUUCCCGAACCAACUAUCCCCGCGGGUCGUAAAUUAGUUAAAGCAAGUGCAUGAUGUUUUAUUUAGGGGAAUGGGGUUCUAAAAAGCAAAACAACCAGUCGGGUCGUUACACUUUUGGUUAGGGAUUAUAUGGAGCUGGGUAAGGAUGGACAUUUCUGGGAGGUGGAGCUCGAUUUUGUGUAUAAUAUUGUAGCCGCGGGUAAGGUUGCGCAUUCAUCACCGCAUAAGGAGGUGGUGCCGGCAUAAGCAACAUCUUGAAGGGGAUAAUAGUGUGGUGGGACCAUAGGAGUCACAUAUGAUUGGCUAAAUGACCUAUGGGCCCCCUCGAGCUUGAAACCUCAUGGCUCCAUCUUCAAACCCAUUUCUGUUCAUCAAAGCCUCCGAACCAUUCUGAGCAGCCUGUGAUGUGGCCUUAAAGGCAUCAUGACUCAAGAUUUGCCCUGUUUCUAAACCGUUUCAACCAUUUCCCCAAUUUUGAUAGCCUCAGCAAACGGCUUUCCCAUAACGGACAUCAUGUUCUGGAAGUAGUUCGCCUCUUGGGUCUGUAGAAAGAUAGUGACCAUUUCAAUUUCACCCAUUGGAGGCUUUAUCCUGCCAGCUUGCUCACGCCAUUUGACAGCAUAUUCGUGGAAGCUUUCCGCGGUUUUCUUUUUCAAAUUGGUCAAAGAGUUUCUGUCGGGAGCGAUGUCCACAUUAUACUGGAACUGGCGGAUAAAAUCUCGGGCCAUGUCGUCCCACACAUGCCAAUAAGUAAUUUCUUGAUCCGUAUACCACUCAGAAGCAAUUCCGGUGUGGCUUUCCCCAAAAUAGGCCAUUAGCAACUCCUCUUUUCCACCAGCGCCUCUCAACUAGUUACAUUAUCGUUUCAGAUGAGCGAUCGGGUCUCCGUGCCCAUCUUACUUUUCAAAUUUUGGCAUCUUGAAGCCAGUCGGCAAGUGGAUAUGGGGAAACAUACAGAGGUCAUAGUAUGAGACACUUUUUUGGCCACUCAGACCUUGCAUGUUUUACAGGCUUUGUUCGAGGCUUUUCAUCUUCCGAGCCAUUUCCUUUUGCUCGGAAUUUUUAAUAACCUUUUCUUGCUCCACCAAGAGAUCAUAUUGCGGGGGUUGAGUGAAAGAGAACGGGGUCACAUAUUAUAUUUUUGAUUGAAGUUGUGGACCCUGAAAGGUUAACAUUAGAGACUCAAUAUACGACCGUGGUAAGGUUGGUUGUGUUUUGGUGCAGACUGGUGCUGCAGAGAACAAUAUUGGAGGUGCCCUGGAAAUUGGCGCCUGGGGGCGAACCACAGAAGGCAUGCCAAGAUUAUUGGAGGGCAUUGGAGGGUGCCCACAUGGGAUGAGCGGGUUGGGCACAUGGGCGUUGGUAAUCUCACCUGACCUGGGGAUCAAUUCAAGGAACCCAAGGAUUGCACUUGGCAGUUCCAUACCAUUAGACCAGGCGUCCCACAUUUUCAAUAUGCGAAGAAGCAACAUCUUAUUCUCUUUAGCAGCUGCUGAUUCUAGCUGCAAAAUAGCCAAUGCCGGGCUAUCCUCAGGACCGAUGGUUGGUAGAUUGCUUGCGAAGGCCAUCUGUGCCUUUAGAUCUUGUGAAGGAGGGAGGCUAGACUACCAACAAAACCAACCACCAAAGCCUGGCUAAUUUGUAUACCCAACAACCUUGUUAGUUUUGAAACGCUUAACAGAUAGGAAAUCGCACGUUUGGAUGCAAUGCACCUAAAUAGUUAAACGUUUCUAUCAUGUGUUUGAACGGUUGCAUGUUUCAUCCCGACCUUAGUUAACCCUUUCAGUAUGUAUCCCUUUUCUUUUAUUUCUGUCUCUAUUUAAUCACUCUUGAUUUGAUUUUUUUAUUUUGUUUCUGUCGCUCUUUUAUUUUUUGGCACUCUCUUUUUUUCACUUUUUUUUUCUCAAUUUUUCUUUCUCUUUUUUUUUUCAGUUUAUUUUUCACUCAGUUAAUUUUAUGGCUAUGAUCGAAUCCGAUGAGGAUUGCCAACAUAUCAUGUCGCCGCAUGAAUCAGAUCUUGCGUAGUUCGGGAAGAUCGAAAUGAAGUAAAUAAACUAACUUUUUUUCGGUUGGAAUUUUUGAAAGAACUUUAAAAAGAAGAAAGGAAAUAUUUUUUUUUGAUUUUUUGAUUUUGAUUUUUGUUUUAUUUUUGAAAGAAAGACUUUUAAAAAUUCAUUUGAUUUUGAUUUGAACUUUGGGAAUUUUAAAAGUAAAAAGAAAAUAUUUUUGUUUGAUUUUCAUUUGUUUUCUCUUUUUCUAAAGCAGAAAGAAAAUAUUUUUGGAUUUUGGAUGUUGCCUCUCGACUUUCGAAAGAGGGNNNNNNNNNNNNNNNNNNNNNNNNNNNNNNNNNNNNNNNNNNNNNNNNNNNNNNNNNNNNNNNNNNNNNNNNNNNNNNNNNNNNNNNNNNNNNNNNNNNNNNNNNNNNNNNNNNNNNNNNNNNNNNNNNNNNNNNNNNNNNNNNNNNNNNNNNNNNNNNNNNNNNNNNNNNNNNNNNNNNNNNNNNNNNNNNNNNNNNNNNNNNNNNNNNNNNNNNNNNNNNNNNNNNNNNNNNNNNNNNNNNNNNNNNNNNNNNNNNNNNNNNNNNNNNNNNNNNNNNNNNNNNNNNNNNNNNNNNNNNNNNNNNNNNNNNNNNNNNNNNNNNNNNNNNNNNNNNNNNNNNNNNNNNNNNNNNNNNNNNNNNNNNNNNAAAGGAAACCUGCAUUUUGGAUUUUGAUUUUUUUAAUUUUGUUUUUUCUUUUCUUAUGAUUUUUUUCGUAUGAAAGACUUUAGAAAGAAGGAAACUAUUUUUUUGAGUUUUUAAAAAAAACUUCUCUUUUUUUGAAUUUUCUAAGGAAAGAUUUCUAAAGAAGCACUAAAGGAAAAUAUUUUUGGAUUUUUUUAAAAUUGGGGCUGGAACCAAUGAGAUUUGCCUCGUAUCUCACAUCCGGUGAGAAUCAGACCCACGUAGUUCAGUCAGUUUUGAUGGAACAGGGAAACAUGACACUUGAAAAUUUGGCUCAUUUUGAAAUGACUUUUUUCUUUAGAAUUUUGGAAGAGUUUCAGGAUUUUCAAAUACAAACCUCACUCUUGUUUUGUUUUUUGUAUUUUUUCUUUCCCUAUUCUAGAAGCUGGUCAACAUGCAAGCCGAAUCAAACAAAUGCGCAAGUAGCACGUAAGAUGCAUCAGAAUGGUCUUUUAAUUUUGGGUACACUUGUCCUAGACGGACCCAACCACUGUGUUGAGUCCCCAAAGUCAAAUGCACGUGAUGUAAACAAACGUUCCUACUAGGGAUCCGGCAUGAGGAUGAGUUAUUCUAAGUUUAAAAAUCUGGGUGUAUUGUUCUAAACCUGGUGUACCCGAGCGUACAACUCGAGUCGAUGGGGGGUUACGUACUGGGAACCAAAAGGUCAUCCAGCUUUGUAACUUGUCCGAACCUCUUUCUAAAAUGGGGUAUGACACUAACAUAAAAGAAGUCACGCCAGCGUGCACUUCCUCGAAUAUGAGAAGAGAAGGGUUACGCAGCAGUUUAUAUAUAGUUCAAAUAAUAUCAAAGCGAUAAAAGACGAAUUUAGCACAUUAGGCCCAAACAUGUAAUAAAAGUCAGAUAAUAUAUAAAAGCCAAUUAUAACAGUUAUUCUAAGCUCGAAUUCUUCAACCCUGAACCAGAAGUUCUGGAUUUUUAUCCACAACAGAGUCGCCAAAGCUGUCACACCUCCUUUUUAUCCACCCGUGGUGGGAUAUAAGGGAGUUUUUCCAAUUAAAGUGACAUUAAUCGAAAUGAGAUUAUUUAAUUUAUUAGGGUCGCCACUUGGAAUAGUUUAAUUGGCGUCCAAAGUCACUGGUUUAUUUUAAAAUCCCAAAUCGAGGAAAUUUUGACUUUAUUUUUAAAGUCUGCGAACCAGAAAUUCUAAGGAAUUCUGUUAACCCGAGAGAAGGUGUUAGGCAUUUCUGGGUUCCGUGAUUUGAGCACGGUCGCUUAAACUAUUAAUUAUUGGCCUAUUAUCAAAUUUACUACACAUUUUAAACCUAUUGUGCAUUUUUAACUUUAUAACCGCUUUUGAUUAUUUUAUGGAAUUAUUCUGGAACAAAUUACGAUUAUCGUACACUUGUUUGUUUGAUACACAUUGCGAAUCAUGUCACGGGAACCGUACCCACGAUCUACAAGAUGUUUAAUUUAUUAAAGUUAUUAGAAGUUGUGGGGGUUCACAUAAAUGUACCCCCAGAUUUGGAAAUUAGUUAUCACAACUACAUUACGGGAACCGUAUCAUGGCCACGAUGAUUUUAUCAAUCGCGCCUAAAGCAAACUACGAUAUUCAUGAGUUAUUUUCCUAAACUACUUCAAGAUUAUUGUGAAAACCCAGAGUUAUGGAAAUCAUUUGUGGAUGAAGUGUAGAUUUUUAUUUCACCCGGUUUGUAUUUGAGUCCGAAUCCUAAUUCUUGUUGUGACUUAUUAAAUCUAAAAGCCCAAAAUAUCAUUAAUCUCACUUUAAUAUUACAAGACCCAAUGGCUCUAAUAUACCACAGAUAAUGAGAAUGACUAGUUCACACUUGCCAAAAUAUUUUUUUGGAAUCCACAAACAACAGACAAAGAGUAAAUAGAAUAACAGAAUACUAUAGGUUGACGAAACAAGAUAAGAAGACAAAUUGGAUUAAAUUUUGACACAAAUAUUGACUAAAGGUUGGUCCAACAGCUUCAUUAGACGCCGAAAUUAUCCCAAUCCAAGAAACUUAGUUCGAUUAAAAAACAUUAGGAAGAAUGAGCCAAAACCACAUUUCAAAUAACUCAUAAAUGAAGUUAUAAUAAAGAUAAGGAUAAGGGUGUGGACCUGUGAGAUGAACUAUCACUCAAUUUGGUGUUCGAAAAGUUAUACACUUGAAGACAAUGCUCAAAGCUCAACCAAUUGCUACAAAAUCCAAAGACAAGGACCAACAUGCGAAUUUUGAACCCCGACGGCACAUCAAACUUAAUUAGGGAUGACUGGUUUAACGACUUAUGCUGGAUUUCAUGAAGUUGCUAAAGCAAAGAAAGGAGAAAAAGUAUUUGUAUCGGUGGCACCAGAUGCAGUUGGGCAGCUCGUUGGCCAAUUUGCUAAAUUGAUGGGUUACUAUAUUGUUGGAUGUGCUGGGAGUCGGAAGAUGGCAGAAGUGGGUUGCUAUUAGUGGUUGUUUGCGGCUGAUUUCGUUCGAAGCUAGGGUGGGGAGCUAGGUUUUGAGAUUGAAGGUGUAGUAUUGCUGAUUAAUUCAUUUUGUUCGUGGCAGAUUGGAGAAGGAAGGUUUUUUUGUGAAGAAAGGGGGGUCUCUCUUGUGUAGGUCCAAAAACGGCGGAUUUUUGCUUAGGGAUCUAUGG